rnacentral:ncRNA from 1 species
GGAGUAGGAACAGUGCGUUAAGUACCGGUUGGAUGGGAGGUUGCCGCCGGGCGAAGGAAUCAGCCGAUUCCGCGAUACUGUUACCGCAACCGCCUG